UCCAACCCUCUGUGUACCAACCUUGUUGCUUUGGCGGGCCCGCGGUUUAACGCCGCCGCCGGCUCUCGCUGGUCAGUGCCCGCCAGAGGACCGUCAAACUCUUGUUUAAAGCAGUGUAGUCUGAGCGAAUCUUAAUAGUUAAAACUUUCAACAACGGAUCUCUUGGUUCUGGCAUCGAUGAAGAACGCAGCGAAAUGCGAUAAGUAAUGUGAAUUGCAGAAUUCAGUGAAUCAUCGAAUCUUUGAACGCACAUUGCGCCCCCUGGUAUUCCGGGGGGCAUGCCUGUUCGAGCGUCAUUUCAACCCUCAAGCUCUGCUUGGUAUUGGGCGUCGCCGGGGAGUCUCCCCGGCGUGCCUCAAAGCCAUCGGCGGUGGUGCCUUUCUCUAAGCGUGGUAGAAUUUUUAUUCGCUUCUGAGUUGGGCUUCGCCUGCCGGACAAACCGGGCCCUCGCGGCCCACCUUCUCAGGUUGACCUCGGAUCAGGUAGGGAUACCCGCUGAACUUAAGCAUAUCAAUAAGCGGA
rnacentral:rRNA from 1 species